ACACACCGAUAUUAUAUGGGUAAUCGGCGGUUGAGUCACCGGGGCGUCUCAACUCUUUGAUCCUCUCCAAACAUCGCUUCUCAAGAUUCCCGACAAGGUUCAUGUUGAAACACUUGCGUACAUCAAGGUGUUCCAGGUGAGGACAGCGGUCGAGAAUGACAUUCAAGCCUGUAUUGGUUAGUCCGUUCCCCAUAAGCUGGAGGUGGCGUAGUUUGGGCAUGCUUUCAGCGAUUGCUAGAGCAUCAUCAUCACAUUCGACGAGAGGGGGCAUGUCGCCUAACUGGCUUAUGGCAUAAUUGCCAUGGGCCGGCCCUGGGCAGCAUAAGGAGUUUAGCUUCAAUGUCUUUAGCUGUGGGCAAACGUGGCCUAUAGCUUUCAAAUCCAGUUUAAGCGAUGAGUGAAAGACCUCGAGGGUUUCAAGCAAUGGAAAUUUUGCGAUCCCGUUCAUAACUCCUUUGUUCGUCAUUGGUUCAUAGAUUGAAAGUCCAAGACUUUUCAGAUUACUUGAUCUGCAAAUAAUUACGUGAAGAGUUAAAUCACAAACUAAGAAUUAAGAAGAGUAACAACAGUAAAUGAAUAUCCAAUAAAGACCAUGGCGCGGCUUAAUUAGAAGAUCAAACUGUACAAUGAUGUUAUAAGCAAGUCGUCUAUCAUAGGAGUCCUAUAAGCUAAUGAUAUAUAUAUAUAUAUAUAUAUAUAUAUAUAUAUAUAUAUGCUAAUAACCUAACUACUUGCUUUCUUUAACCAUGACAAGUAAAGUUAUAUAUGAUGAUAAUAAUAACGGUGUGAAACAAAACAAGACUAGAACAAUAAUGUGAGAACAAUAAAUGACUAUUAUAAAUUUAUAACAGCUUCAUAGCAUGGAAAUUAGCCUUCAUAUCUAACAUAUUAAGGCAUUUACUCUAAUUAAAACACUGUUAAGGCAUGAGAAUAGAAACGAUUUACUCUAAAAGACUAUUAAGGCAUGAAAAUUAGCCUUCAUAUCAGUGCAUAUCAAACCCCAAACGUAGAGUACCUAAAAGAAAACUUUGAGUAAAUGAAUAUCCAAAGUCCAUUUAUUGCAGAUCUCCAGAUCAGGUAAAAGGAAAUUAAAAAGACAUGAUAAACUGAGUUUAAUUAACACAUGAUUAACAAAAAAAAAAAAACAACGAUUAUAAAUUAUCAAAACUUUGUCCUAAUUAAUCCUCAGGAGAAAAAGGAACAAACACAUAUCAGAGAUUUCUUAUCAGUCAAAAUAUAUAUACUACUGGGACAUUUUGUGUCUAAUUCACAGAUCAGUGAAAUCAAAUAAAAGUAAUAUCUCUCUAAACAGCAUUUGGAGAUUUCCAUGACAAACAGUUCAAACGUAGCUUGCGAAAGGAAUAGAGAGAAGAGAGAGAGAACCUAUCGGCGAUGUAGCUCAGGAGAGAAUCGCUCACGAAAUGUUCAAUGUUAAUCUCUAGCAAUCCACCCUGGCUGAGAUCAACAAUGUGACGGCACAUGCCCUCGAAAUCGAACCGAUAGAAUAGGCAGUCUCGCAAGUUGAUUUUCUGCCACAUCGAAGGGUCUUUACAUACGCGUCGCCACUGUCUGCACACCUUCCGAGCGUUAUCCAGUAUAUCAGUCACGCUAAGUCGGAGCAGGAUCGAAGUCGUCAACUCCGGCGGAAGAUCCAACCAGUUUCGUUGCUCUUUUCUUCGCUCUUCAUCUUCUUUCAUGAUCAACGACUGCAACGUAGUGGAGGUUGUCAUUUUCUCUUCUCAAAAAGAGGAGGCUGUCAUUUUCUUUUCUGAAAAAGAGGAGGCUGUCGUUUUUGAGGAUAAGAUUAGGUCAAAUUAGUGAAUAAGAAGUGAAGUGUAUUGUUUCGGACAUUUGGUCAUCGUAGUAUUAUGUGUCUACGGUACGAUUCAUGCCACGUCUAAUUAGGUCUCAAUACUCCUGAAGAAUCAAGCAAGACCAGCCGCAUAUAUCGCAGAUAACACUCACGCGCUAAUGUUUGCUUGAUUUUCUAAGGCCUAGGUAAAUACACGCGCUCAUAAACACUUUUGCUACCACAUCACUGAUAUCGUCAUGAACAAUCUUGGACUCGUUUUUUUUUUUUACUCGUUUCUAUUUAAGUAAAAAUAAUAAUUCCGUUUGAUUUUUUGUUUUUGUUUUAAUGUUAAGAUUUUCUACCAAAUAAAGUUUUAUAUAGUAAUCUAUCUAGCAGGAAAAAAAUCAAACUUAUCCAACAAAAUAUAGAUUUAAAAGAAUUAGGUUCGGUUUUGUUAAUGCUUUAUCAUCAAUUAUAUUUUUUAAAAAUAUGUUAACUUUGAUAUAAUUAAAUAAUCAAUAAAUAAAAAAUAUGGUUAGUUAAAUGAAUAAAUUGUAUUCAUCGUUUCGGGGCAAACCGUGAAUUAUUCUAGGCGAGUUCAAUGAGACGCUUGACUUUGAAGAACACGAUCCGAUUCUUCUCUCUUCUGGUUACUUCGGUCAUGCGAGAUUUCCAAGAAGUAGUGUACGCGGUAUUGUUCUUUAGUGGAUAUGAGGACUCAUAGUCCGCUAUUCACGUGGAGUAACAAGCGAGAGGAGGAUUUAGUUAGUAAUAAGUUGGAUAAAGUUCUUAAAAAUCAGAAGGAAAUGAGGAAUUUGAAACUACCAACAUAGAGAAAAGAGGAGAUAUGAACUAGUUCAUAAAUUGACAAGACCAACAAAAACCACAUCAUAGACAAAACAAGCGAGUUUGGGCAUGCUAUCAAGUAUCAACUAUGAAGAAAAUUCUUUUGAAAUUAUUUUGAACUUGUUGGAACGCGUGUUGAUUUCAGUGUCUGUUUUGAAGUCAUGAUGCAAUUUUGUAGGCCAGUCUUGUACAAGAGUUCUAUGAACAAAUGAUCUUCUUCUGCUAAUUAACCUACUAAUUCUUUUCAUUAACCAUGACAAAGGUUUUUUCUAAUUGUUUUUUUACGAUAACAUAAACUAGUUUUCAACCAUUAUUUAAAUUCAUGGAAGGCAAGGCAUUUUUCAAUUUCAAACAAAAUUGUUUUAGAAUCAGUAUCAAUUUUUUUUUCUCUCACUUUCUUUCAAUGUCAAUCAGAACAAUGAAAGAAAGUGAGAGAAGAAAACAGAAAAAAUUAAGAAACUGAUUUAUUUUAGUUCUUUUAUUUUUUUGGUUUAGGCUCUAAGCCAAAAAAAUUCUUUUUAUUAUUACUAUUUUAUCUUCAUAAAUUUUAUAUUUGUUCUCUUUUUGUGGGGAAGAUAGCUAGAAGAAGAUGAGAGAAUAGUUGUGUUCAUUUAGUUAAAAAUGUAUUUUGGUCAAAAUAAUAUACUAUUUGGCUAAUCCAUGAGAACUCAUUUUGAUUUUGUCCAAAAGUCAGAAGAAACACUUUAAAAAGUGUGUUUUGUGAAAACAUUUUCUUAAGAAACAACUUCUGCAUCGUACGCGAGUUACAAUCACGCGCUACAAACUUAAAAUGUACAAAGAAAAUAAGGGACUUUGAAACACUACCAAACCAACAUAGAGAAAAGAGGACUAGAGGAGACAUGAACAAGUUCAUUAUGUGACAUACUGACAUGACCAUAAAAAGCAACUUGUGUUCAAAGAUAUAUAUACUAUCUAGUCCCAAUAAAAGUCAUAUUAAACCUCAAUGUUGUCCAAGUCAUUGACAAAAGUGAUAUCAAAUGGGUGAUCAAAGGUUGAGUCAUGAUUUGAUGUGUCUAAAGUAUUUGAUCCUCUCAAAACAUCUUCCAGAUCUCCGACAAGUUUAAGCUGGAAGCACGUUUGUAAACACUCGUUCCAGGUGAGGACAACCAUCAAGAAUGGCAUACAAGCGUGUAUCACUUAGGUUGUUCCCAUAAAGGUGGAGGUGGCGUAGUUCUGGCAUGCUUUCAGCGAUUUCUAGGGCAUAAUCAUCAUCAUUGCGAGAGUUCCAGAAACCCCCUGAGGAGUUUAACUUCAAUGUCUUUAGCUGUGGGCAAGCGUGGCCUAUAUCUUCCAAACUCAGGUUUAAACAUGAGUGUGAGACCUCGAGGGUUUCAAGUAAUGGAAUUUUUGUGAUUGCAUUCAUAAGUCCUGGCCUCGUCACCCUUGGAAAGCACAUUCCAAGUCCAAGACUUCUCAGAUUCCUUGACCUACAAAUAUAUAAUCGCGCGUGUGUCGAAUUACAUCAUAAACGAUAUGAAGAAGAAUAAUAAUAAAAAAGAACAUAAGAAAUUUUCAUAGUACUAAUCAACUCAGAAGCAUGUAAAUAAGAAGAGCACAGAAGAGCAAACCAUUUGUUUCAAUUGGGACCUAAAAGAUAAAACUCUAAAGAUGCAUUAAGCAAGUCUAUGAUAAGAAUUGUAUAAGUUCUUAAUCUUCUUAUAAUGCUAAUAACCUAACUACUUGUUUUCAUUAUUAACCAUGACAAAGGAGAAGUAAUUAUGUAUGAUAUGACAGUAACGAUGUGAAACAAAUCAAGACUCGAUCGAACAAUGUGAGAACUAAGGCCUAUUAUAACAUCAUCAUAUCAACAGUGACUUCAAAAUAAAACGGAUUUUUUUUUUACUCCUAAAAUAUUAUAAAGGCAUGAACAUUGAGUUGCAAACAUGAGUGCAUUCAUACCAGACGUAGAGUACAUUAGAAGAAAACUUUAAGUUGCAAGACAUACAUUCUCGAGUAAGAGUAACUGAAUAUCCAAAGUGCAUUCAUAGCAAAUCCAGUAAAAGGGAAUAAAAAGACAAGAUAAGUGGAGUUUCAUUAACACGAGUGAUAAACAAAAUAAAAAUAAAAAUCAACGAUUAUAAAUGGGGAUCUAUAUUUUUUUUUAUAAUCAACGAUUAUGAGGAUUAGGGCAAAAUUUUGUUCAUAAUAUUUUUAUUUAUAAUCAACGAUUAUAGAUGAACAAAGUUUUGCCCUAAUCCUCACGAAAAAAAAAGGAACAAACACAUUUCAGAUAUUUCUGCCUCACUCAAAAAUAUAUAUAUCGACACAUAUCUUUUGUCUAAAGCCACCAAUUUCUCUAAACAAAACAGUAUUUGGAGAGAUUCCCAUGAAACAAUUAAAACAUAGCGAAUGGUAAGGGAUAGAGAGAAGAUAGGUAACCUAUCAGCGAUGUAGUCGAGAAGAUCAUCGUUGACGAAGUUCCCAAGGUGGAUUUUGACCAAACCACCCUCGCUGCGAUCAACGGCGUGACGGCACAUGAUAGCCAAGGGGUCGAGCAUUCCCCUAUCUCUGAUCAGGUUUCUCAUGUCGAUUUUCCGCCACAUCGAAGGUUCUUUACAGACGCGUCGCCACGGUCUGCACACCUUCUGAGCGUUGUUCAGAAUAUCAGCCACGCUAAGACGGAUCAGGAUCAAAGACGUCAACUCCGACGGAAGAUCCGCCCAGUUUCUUGGCUCUUCGUCUUUCAUCGGCGACGGAGAGGAGGUUUUCAUUUUCUUUUUUGAAAAAGCGGAGGUUGUCAUUUUUGAGGAUAAAAUUAGGUCAAAUCUGUGAAUAAGAAGUGAUGUGUAGUUUUGGACCUUUCGGCUUGUCUCUAAGUCAACAUUUGGUCAUCGUAGUAUACAGUACAAUUCAUGCCACGUAUAAUUAGGCAAAUACACUCACGCGCUAAUGUUUUUGUACUCGUUUUCUAUUUAAGUAAAAGUAUAAUUCGAUUUGAUUUUUUUAGGUUUUAAUGCUAAGAUUUUAUACCAUAGUUCCAAAUGUUGAUCUCAACCAAGCCUCCCUGGCUACGAUCAACAGCGUGACGACACAUGAUAUCGAGCUUCUGCGGUUACUUAAGUCAAUCCUCCGCCACAUCCAAGGGUCUUUAAAGACGACUCCACGCCACGAUCUACACACUUUCUGAGCAUUUUCCAGUAUCUCCGCCAAGUUUCUAUAUCCUCUUUCCUUCAUCGCCGGAGGUAAUGACGAAGAAGACGACGGCUUAAAGUAGAAACAAAUGAAAGAGGAAAGUAAAGUAAGAACUAAACAACCGAUCUUUCUUAACAAACCCACUUAUGAAAAACCACUGCAUUUAGCGAGCUACAAUCACGCGCUCAAAGCUUAAAAAGUUAAGAAGGAAAUAAAAGGACAGAGAAAAUAAGAGGAGACAUGAACAAGUUCAUAAGUUGACAAAACCAACAAAAACCACAUGUUCUCUGCAUUGUUCAGAAAGAUUCAGUAUCUAAUACCAAUAAUAGUCACUGGCAUCAUAGAGAAAAGAGGAGACAUGAUCGAGUUAAUAAGUUGACAAGACCAUCAAGAAGCAACCCUGUGACUCGGAUAGAAUCGGCAUGAAAUCAUGAUCUGAAGCAUAACUGACACACCGAUAUUAUAUGGGUAAUCGGCGGUUGAGUCACCGGGGCGUCUCAACUCUUUGAUCCUCUCCAAACAUCGCUUCUCAAGAUUCCCGACAAGGUUCAUGUUGAAACACUUGCGUACAUCAAGGUGUUCCAGGUGAGGACAGCGGUCGAGAAUGACAUUCAAGCCUGUAUUGGUUAGUCCGUUCCCCAUAAGCUGGAGGUGGCGUAGUUUGGGCAUGCUUUCAGCGAUUGCUAGAGCAUCAUCAUCACAUUCGACGAGAGGGGGCAUGUCGCCUAACUGGCUUAUGGCAUAAUUGCC
rnacentral:lncRNA from 1 species